AGACAAAAUAUGGUUAAGAUAAUAACUCGGAACUAAUUUAAUCGUGACUCGUGGUCGUAGGUAUUUUAUUUUUGAAAUACCUAUUAGUUCUUGUAUAAUAUAAUAUAAUUAUUGUCUUAUUCUCCACAUAUUGUAUUUUACGUAUUUUAUUUAAUAAUUUAAUACUUUAUCAAUCAUAUAACUACCUAAAUUUACUUAUUACACUUGAAUUAGAUGCUUGGUGAUUACAUUUGUACAAUUUAUUGUUUAAUCAUUUAUACAUAAUACACUAUUUUUGUUCAAAUGUAUACCUAACCAAGGAACACUGGUACUUACUGGAUAAUACAUGAGUUGUUAUACAAUGAAGUGGCAUAAUAUGACAACACAGAAAUAUUGCGAUAAUAUUUCCAUAUUAUUUAAAAUUAGUCAUUACAAUUUAUACUCAGCUGGACACAGGGUUUUUCAUGAAAGUCUAUACCUACUCUACAAAUGUUAUAUCAAAAUCUCCACUUUUUAGUUCCUAAACUAAAAGUGAAUAGAAAAUUAUUUAUCUACAUAAUAUGUGAUGAUUCAAAAUCAGUUUCACAUAGGUCAUUUUACCUAAUUUAAAUAUGCCAUAAUGGAAUCAGCUACCUAUGACACACAAUUCAGAAGAUCCUGUAUGUUAAAAUUAUAUUCAUUUAUAACUGCUAUGUUUAAUUACAUUUUAAAAUGGUAACUGUGAAAAAUUUUAAUUUUUCACAUAUUGGAUUUAAAUAUUUCAACAGACUACAGAACAAAAUAAAAUAUUCAAGACAAUUGCAAAGAAGUGGGAAAAAUGUAGCUGGACUAAGUGCAUACAUAUUACAAAUGAUGUGUAUUGAAACUAAAAAUGUUGUGAAUGUUAAUGUUUUGUACUUUGUAUGAUAUUUUAAUUAAUUUAAAUGAGGUGACAACAUCAAUCAUUACAAAUCAAAAGAUAAAAUAAUGUAUGUUGUGUUUAAUACACACAAUAUAAUAUGUAGAUUGUGUAAAUCAAAUAAAGAAUUUAAAAAAAAAUAAAAUAGGUAUGUGAUUUAUAAUUAUUUUUCAGUUAUUACUUUAACAAUAGUAUAAAUGCUCAAUGUAAAGUAUUUAAAAAAAUAUAAAUGUAUUAUUAUUAAUAUACAUAUAUUUUUUUUAAUUAUAUUAGUAUUACAUUGUAUAAUGAUAAAUACUUAAUUACUUUUGUCAAUGAUUGGUGUUGUCAUUAAAUAAUAAUUAGUACUAAAUUCAAAUAAGAAUAUUAUUAACACCAUUUUUAAAUUUUACUAAGUCUGGGGUGAUUGAAAAGUUUGUUUUAAUUUUUUGAAUACAUGUUUUAUCUUUACUCAUAUUUUGCAUAACUGCAAAACGAACAUUUUGAUUAAACUGUAUCAUCAUUUUGAAAUAGAUUUUUCAUAGUCCUGGGCUUAUUAAAGUAAAAUUGUUUAAUGGUUCACGAUAAUAUCAGUAUAAAAUGUGAGAAAUUCGGUCGUGAACAGGGUUCAGGGAUAAACAGAACCUAAAAUCAUCAAAUCAAACAUUUAAAUAAUCAAAAUUAAGCAAUCUAAAACAUGGUUAUUCUCUCCUUAGUUUUUGUUAGUGGUUAUCACUUGCAUCAUAUUAAAGUAGAAAAUAUACAUUAAAAAAUUUAAAAUGUGUUAAAAAGAACACUCUAAAAUGUGGGUGCUAUAAUAUUUCAUAUUUUAAAAACAUUAAAUUGAUGGCAUUUCACUAUAAUAAUGAUAGUUAAAUCUAAAAAAACAAGGGGUGCUAAAUUAGAGCUUGGCGUGCUAAAGACCCUUCUGUGACAAUGGUCUCAAACCCUGUUCAUGACAUUGAGAAUAUGAUUUUUUUUAUAAUUAUUUAAGUUUAUUAGUGCCUUAUGUAUUUGCAUGUAUAUCAUUAUUAUUUAAAUACCUACCUAUUGAUUAAAUUCAUGUGAUUGGUCAAAAAGACCUAGUCCUACCAAGUAUAUUACAACUAUUGAAGUGACCUAUGGCGAAUUAUUUAUAUUAUACUAAUAUUUGAUUUGGAAUUGUAAAUGCAUUAAAUUGAAAUUGUAAACAUAAAAAAAAGUUGUUUAUACCUAAUAUUAAAUUAGUUCAGAGUUAUAUUUAUUAGGUAUUAUAUAAUGUUAACUUGUUGAAAAUAUUAUUUAAAUUUAUGUUGGUAUUGUAUUUCCAGAUUUGUAAUAAAUUGUAAUUUUAAUACCACUGUACAAUUAGUGUUAUAUUAUGUGUAAAAUUAAUUUUUAUCUUGAUUCUUCGGGACUAUAAAAAAAGUUAAAAUGUUAAAUUCUCACAGACCCUAGUGUUAUGUACUUGUCAAACUUCUUUAUUCGAUGUGCAUGUGCCUAAAUGAUAUUUUAUAUAAGAAGAGGUACAAUAUUUGAUUUGUUCAAAAAAAAAAAUUAUUAUUAAAAAUAUUAAAUUCUCAUAGGUAUUCUGGUAUUUACAUGUUUAUAGUAUCCAUAUUAUGGUAAUAUAAAUAUUAAAUGUAUAAUAAUAAUUAACACAUUAUUUUGUAUUAGUUAAAUCUACCAAAGCUAUACACAGUUAUAUGUAUAUUAUUAAAAUAUGUAUAAAAAAAAAAUUAAGUUAAUUUAUUGUUAAUAUUAUGGUCCAUUAUAUCAUAAUUUGUACAAUUAUUAUUAAUUGUUAUUGUAUACAUUUAUCAUUGAAAUACAGAUUUUUAAUAAUUUUAGAAGUUUUAUUAUCAGUAAUCUAGUUGUUGCAACUGUAGUACAGACUGUCUAAUUGAGUAACAAAAACAGGAUUUUAUUUGUGACAUAAAUUAACAGUAAGUUACUGUACUGGUAACACUGUAUUUUCUUUAUGAUAGACAGUUGUAAUGAUCACGGUCUUAGAUUAUAAGAGUGAUAAACCAUGGACAACUUAUAGACUAAAAUAAUUCUGUAUUUCCGUAUGUUACUCUAUGGUGUGUUGUAGUCGGCAUAGAAUAGAGAUUAAAUCGUGAUCAAAUCUACAAACAGAAGCAGUCCAAUUAGAUAGGUAUACGUAUACCCAAUAAUAUGAUCGUCUGUUAUUGUAUGUAGGUAUUAUCAGCUAUCAGGUACAAAGAUAAUCACCGCUAUAUCUUGGGUCGAACGAUAUCGAAUUUAUUACUUAUAACUUCUGGUCUUUAUAAUUGAUAAUAAUUAUUACGACCAAUGACCAGUGCCGCAAUCACCUUCGUGGGGUAAAACUGUGUGACUCCCUGAAAAAUCGGCAUAAUAAAAUACAUUUGGGGCUCUAAGUACUUUAUGAACUGAUUUGAAAAGUGUAAUAUCUUUUAACCCUGGGACAUAAAAAUCCUAGUAGAGAUAAUAUCUACUGACGAGGUAUAACACAUUUACACACAAUAACUACCUCCCAAAACCACCCAACUUUGAGGAGCAAUAUCUCAUCAACGGAUUAACGAAAAAUGAAAAUUUGAACGUAAUAAUUAAUGAAAAAAAUAGUUUUAUUCAAUUAUGAAAUUUUAAGUAUAGGUUACCAUUUGAAAAUCAAAAGUUGAUGGUGGUUUACCUAAUAAAUAUAAGGGUGAAAAAUAUAAAAAAAAUAUUCAAUUCUAGAACAGCGUAAAUCUACAAUUUUGAAAAAAAAAAAUUUUGAAAAAAGUCAAUACUUUUUCAAAUAAUGAGUGUUGUUUGAUAAAAGAAUCACCCUGU